rnacentral:rRNA from 1 species
UACGAAGGGGGCUAGCGUUGCUCGGAAUCACUGGGCGUAAAGGGCGCGUAGGCGGCCAUUCAAGUCAGAAGGUGGAAAGCCCCAAGGCUCAACCUUGGAACUGCCUUUGAUACUGUUUGGCUUGAGACCGGUAGAGGGUAAGUGGAACUGCGAGUGUAGAGGUGAAAUUCGUAGAUAUUCGCAAAGAACGACCAGUGGCGGAAGGCGGAGCUUGACCUUGGACCGGUUCGUGGACGCUGAGGCGGCGAAAAGCGUGGGGAGCAAACAGG